rnacentral:rRNA from 1 species
UACGGGAGGCAGCAGUGGGGAAUAUUGCACAAUGGGCGCAAGCCUGAGUGCAGCCAUGCCGCGUGUAUGAAGAAGGCCUUCGGGUUGUAAAGUACUUUCAGUCGUGAGGAAGGUGUUAAGGUUAAUAACCUUAGCAAUUGACGUUAGCGACAGAAGAAGCACCGGCUAACUCCGUGCCAGCAGCCGCGGUAAUACGGAGGGUGCGAGCGUUAAUCGGAAUUACUGGGCGUUAAAGGGCACGCAGGCGGUUAAUUAAGUUGGAUGUGAAAUCCCCGGGCUUAACCUGGGAAUGGCAUUCAAGACUGGUUAGCUAGAGUCUUGUAGAGGGGGUAGAAUUCCAUGUGUAGCGGUGAAAUGCGUAGAGAUGUGGAGGAUACCGGUGGCGAAGGCGGCCCCUGGACAAAGACUGACGCUCAUGUGCGAAAGCGUGGGGAGCAAACAGGAUUAGAUACC